GCUUCCUACCCCAAAGAAAUGCAGCACUGCAGACAUGAGCUUUUUUCUUCAAACCAUUGCUAAAGGCAAAUGGUUUAAUCAUAAUUUUUUUCCUUUGCACAGCUUUCAUUUCAGAACUGACAUUUGCAUUUUAUGGAUGAGUAAUUCGGAGGGAGAAUGCACACUAAAAAGGUCACUCACAGAACCACACAGAUAACAGAUCUCAGCAAAAUGUCACUGAAGAUAAAGUCCGGGGUUUUCAGAGCAGCGCUUCUGAAGGUAGGCACUGUAUUGAGGUGUCAACGUGCAGGGGACAAUUUUUGCAUGCAAUUUCCAAGCCUUCCUUUUGAAAGCAUUGGCCCAAGCAGCACUGUUAUACUUGGAUAUUCGACAGGCAAGCAGUCUGAGCGCUGAGACUGGGAGAGGAAGACUGCAGUGGUCAGUUUAAAGGGUGAUUUGCCAAAUAGGAUGGAGCAGAGGCCACACCACAACAUUGCUAUUUUCUGACUGCCUGUGGCCGCUCAGGACUGAGUCACCUAACCCACAGCUGCCCGUGCAAAGCAGCCAGCUUGUGGGCUGGAAAACAGCAGGUGGGCUUUUAUCCCAAAACAUCCAUCCCUCUUUGCUCCCUGCUCCACCAGGACCGAAACCUUUGUUGCAGCUGAGCAGCUGGCCGAGAAGAGGGCCUGAACACGCACAACGUACCACAUGCAAGGGAAAAUUCUGCAACACGUAGGGCUGAUCGUUGGCUGCAUCGUAGCUUCUGUUUGGCACCUGAUCGGUGCUUUCCUACCAUCUCCUCCAUGGUUCAAAAGCAAAGCUGGGGGAAAAUUCAACACUAUCUUCAUCGGCCAGCCCGUAAAAUAACCGCCUUUGGCUGAAAAAAAUGAUGAUUACUGAGCCAUAAUCACAACACCCUUUUUUUUUUAAAGAACAGUUUAGCUUCAAGGCCCGAUUCCAUCUGUGACCAUGGAAGCUGUUCUGUGUCCUGGCAUGCAGGAGGAAAAAAACGUAGAUGUGUUUCCACUUUUCUCUGUGCUCACUUGAAUAACGGGACCAAGGUCAAACAACCUCAGACAGAAGGAAAAACGAUCACUGAACAGAAGUGGAAAUGUGAAAUACGUCAGAUGAUAUUCUUUUUUUUUUUGUCGUCAGAGGUGCUCGGGGAUUGUGGCCGCCAAGAAGAGAAUAGAUAGGCAGUCUGCAGAACGGGAGAUUUCUGACGGUGAAGUCCUAUUGGGGUUUUUUGGGACAGUUACAUAUAAGACACCAAAGGAAUGGCUCAGAACUACUAUCCCCACCUACAGUGUUUCUUUUCCUCUUCAUUUACGGUAACAAUGUUCAGGCAACAGUUUGUUUUUUUCAGUUCCCACUUACUAUUCAUUGCGAAACUUGGUAAGAUUGGCCAUGUUUUAAUGUGACUCCACAAGUAUACAGAUAAACACAUCUUUCUUCAACAGCUUCCUUCUAUUUACAAACCUAUCGCAUCGUUUGGGUCAUUCCUUGAGGCACAUAGCAUGGUUGGCUUCAUUCUGUCCUAAACCUUCUGCUAUUCCUCUCACUUGAUUACUGUGUAUAGAAAACAUACACAAGUGUUUUCUGAUACUUUGCCGAACGGCUUAAACACUGAGUAUCAAAACUGACUGCAGAAAUCUUCAUUCCAGGUGCUGCAGGUGACUUGGUGAUAGGCAUGAUUUGGAGCAAAGGGCAGAUUUGUAAGAACAAAUACUCAAGUAAAACUCCAUGGGACAAAAGCAGCAACAGCAGCAUGGCAAACUACAAAAUCAAGUUAAAAUCUGAAGCAUUGCAGAGUUUUUAAUGGAAGUAAUUAGCUUGAAAUGAAAGCUUCUACCUUAAGCCAAAUUAUAUGCGCACAGGAAAGGGAUUCAUUUGGUUAUGCUGCAGAACCUUUCCAAAUUGCACUGCACUGCUGCUAUUCCUUUUCCUUAGUAGCCGCAAAAUAAUUUAUUUUAGGUUAUCCAGGGCUUAAGUUCACAGAAGAACGCAUUUAAGUUGGCUUCACAGUCAUCAAAGUUUAGCGGCUUUAUUGAAUUCAAGCGAGAACCGCAUGGAAUAUCUGAGUCCGAGGCUGAUAAGCGAAACUUGACCUUCUACGGUACCAGCCAAGUAAAAACCCCUCUUAAUGUCACUUCCAGCUGCAGUAGAUAGAUAUCGUUUUUAAAGCAAUCUUGAACAAGAAUUUGUGAUGUCUGACAACUUUUUCAAUAUCCGGGAAUUACCCGCUGCUGGAAAACUUUCUGCUGGCUGAACAUUGCUUUGGUAGACAGGUUUGUCUUUGACUGCGGUUAAGGACAAAUUUACAAAGUAUCUCUCUAUAUACUGAGGAGCAGAUUUUAUCCUCAGAAAUUCAAGUGUGUGAGCAAAUCAGAGUUUGAAUAACAAUCUACUGUAUGGGAGUGCAAAUUAUAAAAUGGUACAAGUGAGUGAAGAUCAGCCUACAUUUCUAUAUUAUAACUUCAUUAAAUGAAGAUAUUCUAAAAAGCA